rnacentral:rRNA from 1 species
AUGAACGCUGGCGGCGUGCCUAAUACCUGCAAGUCGAGCGAACAGAUGAGGAGCUUGCUCCUCUGACGUUAGCGGCGGACGGGUGAGUAACACGUGGAUAACCUACCUAUAAGACUGGGAUAACUUCGGGAAACCGGAGCUAAUACCGGAUAAUAUAUUGAACCGCAUGGUUCAAUAGUGAAAGACGGUUUUGCUGUCACUUAUAGAUGGAUCCGCGCCGCAUUAGCUAGUUGGUAAGGUAACGGCUUACCAAGGCAACGAUGCGUAGCCGACCUGAGAGGGUGAUCGGCCACACUGGAACUGAGACACGGUCCAGACUCCUACGGGAGGCAGCAGUAGGGAAUCUGCCGCAAUGGGCGAAAGCCUGACGGAGCAACGCCGCGUGAGUGAUGAAGGUCUUCGGAUCGUAAAACUCUGUUAUUAGGGAAGAACAAAUGUGUAAGUAACUAUGCACGUCUUGACGGUACCUAAUCAGAAAGCCACGGCUAACUACGU